rnacentral:rRNA from 1 species
GGGGGGGGGGGGGGGGGGGGCGGAGGGGGGGAGGUGGGGGGGAGGGGGGGAGCUGGCGCGUGGGGUCGGCGGGGGAGGGGUGAGGAGUGGCUAGGAAGCGGCGUGGGAGUGGGGGAUAGCGUCGGGAAACGGGCGCUAAUUAGGCAUACGAGCGGAGGGGGGCAGGGGGGGACCUGCUGACUGCACGCUAUGAGAGGAGGGUAGGUCGGAGUCGCUAGUUGGUGGGGUGAAGGCGUACCAAGAUGCCGAUCCGUACCUGGUCUGGGAGGAUGAUCCGUCACACUGGAACUGAGACACGGUCCAGACUCAUACGCGAGGCAGCAGUCGGGAAUAUUGGACAAAGGGCGAAAGCCUGAUCCAGCCAUGCCGCGUGUGUGCAGAAGGUCUUCGGAUUGUAAAGCACUUUCAGUUGGGAGGAAGGGCAGUAAGUUAAUCCCUUGCUGUUUUGACGUUACCACCAGAAUCGGCACCGGCUACCUUCCUG